rnacentral:rRNA from 1 species
GUGAGUAACGCGUAUGCAACCUACCUUUGGCACGGGGACAGCCCGGGGAAACCCGGAUUAAUACCCGGUAUAGUCUGUUAUACACCUGUAUAAAAGACGAGAGCUACGGCGGCCAAAGAUGGGCAUGCGUGCCAUUAGUUAGUUGGUAGGGUAACGGCCUACCAAGGCAUCGAUGGCUACGGGGUCUAAAAGGAUGAGCCCGCACACUGGUACUGAGACACGGACCGGACUCCUACGGGAGGCAGCAGUGAGGAAUAUUGGUCAAUGGGUGGAAGCCUGAACCAGCCAUGCCGCGUGCAGGAAGACGGCCUUACGGGUUGUAAACUGCUUUUCUACGGGACGAACGGCUCUGACGCGUCAGGGAUUGACGGUACCGUAGGAAUAAGCAUCGGCUAACUCCGUGCCAGCAGCCGCGGUAAUACGGAGGAUGCGAGCGUUAUCCGGAUUUAUUAGGUUUAAAGGGUGCGUAGGCUGGGCAAUAAGUCAGUGGUGAAAGUCCGCGGCUCAACCGUGGGAUUGCCAUUGAAACUGUUGUUCUUGAGUACAGUCGAGGUAGGCGGAAUGUGUAAUGUAGCGGUGAAAUGCAUAGAUAUUACCCAGAACACCGAUUGCGUAGGCAGCUUACCAGCCUGGAACUGACGCUGAUGCACGAAAGCGUGGGGAGCGAACAGGAUUAGAUACCCUGGUAGUCCACGCCGUAAACGAUGAUCACUCGCUGUUGGCAAUAUAGAGUCAGCGGCUGAGCGAAAGCAUUAAGUGAUCCACCUGGGGAGUACGUCGGCAACGAUGAAACUCAAAGGAAUUGACGGGGGCCCGCACAAGCGGUGGAACAUGUGGUUUAAUUCGAUGAUACGCGAGGAACCUUACCUGGGCUUAAAUGUAGCCGGACGAUUCCGGAAACGGGAUUUCCUUAACGGCUGGUUACAAGGUGCUGCAUGGCUGUCGUCAGCUCGUGCCGUGAGGUGUCGGGUUAAGUCCCAUAA